AACGUAGGAGGCGAGCGUUAUCCGGAUUUACUGGGCGUAAAGCGUGCGUAGGCGGUUGGUCAAGUCAGAUGUUAAAGCCCCUGGCUCAACUGGGGGAGGUCAUUUGAUACUGGCCGGCUUGAGGGUGAGAGAGGAGAGUGGAAUUCCCGGUGUAGCGGUGGAAUGCGUAGAGAUCGGGAGGAACACCAGUGGCGAAAGCGGCUCUCUGGCUCACUUCUGACGCUGAGUGCACGAAAGCGUGGGGAGCAAACGGG
rnacentral:rRNA from 1 species